UGGGGAAUAUUGGACACUGGGGGGAACCCUGAUCCAGCCAUGCCGCGUGUGUGAAGAAGGCCUUUUGGUUGUAAAGCACUUUAAGCGAGGAGGAGGCUACCGAGAUUAAUACUCUUGGAUAGUGGACGUUACUCGCAGAAUAAGCAUCGGCUAACUCUGUGCCAGCAGCCGCGGUAAUACAGUGGGUGCAAGCGUUAAUCGGAUUUACUGGGCGUAAAGCGCGCGUAGGUGGCCAAUUAAGUCAAAUGUGAAAUCCCCGAGCUUAACUUGGGAAUUGCAUUCGAUACUGGUUGGCUAGAGUAUGGGAGAGGAUGGUAGAAUUCCAGGUGUAGCGGUGAAAUGCGUAGAGAUCGGGAGGAAUACCGAUGGCGAAGGCAACCAUCUGGCCUAAUACUGACACUGAGGUGCGAAAGCAUGGGGAGCAAACAGG
rnacentral:rRNA from 1 species